AGAGUUUGAUCCUGGCUCAGGACGAAUUCUGGCGGCGUGCCUAACACAUGCAAGUCGAACGGACGAGGAGGAGCUUGCUUCUCCAAGUCAGUGGCGGACGGGUGAGUAACGCGUGAGUAACCUGCCCUUCAGAGGGGGAUAACGUCUGGAAACGGACGCUAAUACCGCAUGACAUAUUUCCAUCGCAUGGUGGAGAUAUCAAAGGAGCAAUCCGCUGAAGGAUGGACUCGCGUCCGAUUAGAUAGUUGGUGAGGUAAUGGCCCACCAAGGCGACGAUCGGUAGCCGGACUGAGAGGUUGAACGGCCACAUUAGGACUGAGACACGGCCCAGACUCCUACGGGAGGCAGCAGUGGGGAAUAUUGCACAAUGGGGGAAACCCUGAUGCAGCGACGCCGCGUGGAGGAAGAAGGUCUUCGGAUUGUAAACUCCUGUUGUUGAGGAAGAUAAUGACGGUACUCAACAAGGAAGUGACGGCUAACUACGUGCCAGCAGCCGCGGUAAAACGUAGGUCACAAGCGUUGUCCGGAAUUACUGGGUGUAAAGGGAGCGCAGGCGGGAAGACAAGUUGGAAGUGAAAUCUAUGGGCUCAACCCAUAAACUGCUUUCAAAACUGUUUUUCUUGAGUAGUGCAGAGGUAGGCGGAAUUCCCGGUGUAGCGGUGGAAUGCGUAGAUAUCGGGAGGAACACCAGUGGCGAAGGCGGCCUACUGGGCACCAACUGACGCUGAGGCUCGAAAGUGUGGGUAGCAAACAGGAUUAGAUACCCUGGUAGUCCACACCGUAAACGAUGAUUACUAGGUGUUGGAGGAUUGACCCCUUCAGUGCCGCAGUUAACACAAUAAGUAAUCCACCUGGGGAGUACGACCGCAAGGUUGAAACUCAAAGGAAUUGACGGGGGCCCGCACAAGCAGUGGAGUAUGUGGUUUAAUUCGACGCAACGCGAAGAACCUUACCAAGUCUUGACAUCCUGCGACGAUGCUGGAAACAGUAUUUUCCUUCGGGACGCAGAGACAGGUGGUGCAUGGUUGUCGUCAGCUCGUGUCGUGAGAUGUUGGGUUAAGUCCCGCAACGAGCGCAACCCUUACUGUCAGUUACUACGCAAGAGGACUCUGGCAGGACUGCCGUUGACAAAACGGAGGAAGGUGGGGAUGACGUCAAAUCAUCAUGCCCUUUAUGACUUGGGCUACACACGUACUACAAUGGCGUUAAACAAAGAGAAGCAAGACCGCGAGGUGGAGCAAAACUCAGAAACAACGUCCCAGUUCGGACUGCAGGCUGCAACUCGCCUGCACGAAGUCGGAAUUGCUAGUAAUCGUGGAUCAGCAUGCCACGGUGAAUACGUUCCCGGGCCUUGCACACAACGCCCGUCA
rnacentral:rRNA from 1 species